AUCCAUUUUAGAAUAUGGCUUUAACGUAACAAAAUGUGGAAAAAGGGAAGAGGUCUGAACACUUUCCAGAAGCACUAUAGGGCUUUGUCACUUUAUAUAACUGUGAAGAGAUAGUAGAUCCUCAACUUUUAAGCCAACAUCACCAGUCUAUGGGUAAAAGUGUUUGAGAAGAAAUAGUAGAAAAUAAUUUUAAAGUAUUGUAUAUUCGUUUUUUAAGUUUCAGAUCUGUUGGGUGAUCAGAGUAAGCAUAUUUUUGUCAUUAUUCUAUCUUGCCUGACAACUGCUGUGAUCCUGAGUGUGAUUGUCAACAUUUUCCUCUUUGUGAGACUGAAGAGGUCACGAUGUGAACACUGUGCAGUAGGAACCCCUUCUCAGCAGAGCCAGUACAGAAAUCCUUAUGCCAACACGUCAGACCAACAGGUUAGCAGAAUUACUGUAUCAAGAGUGAGACUGGAUAAGAGUAUUAAAGCUAAAUAUUACAGCAUUAGAUUUAACCCAGAGUCUGAAUUGAGUGAGUCUUUGUUUAAUCCCCAAAGCUCCCCAGUGACAAUGAUGCCCUGAACUAUUCUGCCCUGAAGUUCGAUGAAAUGAAGAGUACCAAGCCCAGGAGACAGAGGAGAAAACAGAGAGAGGAAGAAACCAUCUACUCUGGUGUGUCAGAUAGACAGGAUGUGGCAGUCAUCCAUUCAGUAUCACAGGCACUUUAAUUGGGGAGGGCGGGCUCAUAGUAAUGGCUAGAACUGAAUAAACGGAAUGCUAUUGAACGCAUCAAACAUAUGGAUACCAUUGCAUUCACUCCAUUCCAGCCAUUGUUAUUAGCUGACCUCCCCUAAGCAGCCUCCUGUGAUCAGCAUAAUUCUAAGUUAAGCCCCACCCCUCCUCUGAAUUCCACUUUGAUCUUGACUGUGUCCGUGUGACCUGGCUAUUUUGUACACUUCCGGUUUGCUGUAGAAUGCCAUUGCAGGGGCCUAGCUUCACCAUAAUUUUCCCCAAAGUAUGAAAGCUGAUACUAGGAUGGUUUCAGAAGUCUCAAAUCCUCACCAAUAGUGGCUGAGGUUGACUGACUGGAUACAUUUGGUUUUGUAGAAGUGUACCACAAAAUAUAUAUUAUGAUUUUCAAAUGUCUGAACUCUUCCUUUUCAUGAUAAUACUUGUAACAUGGAGCUUUGUAACCUGCCCUUAUACUUGUGUGAUAUUUCAAUAAACAUGUUUUUAUUUAC
rnacentral:lncRNA from 13 species